ACGCUCGACACCUACGGGAGCCAGCAGUGGGGAAUAUUGCACAAUGGGGGAAACCCUGAUGCAGCGACGCCGCGUGGAGGAAGAAGGUCUUCGGAUUGUAAACUCCUGUUGUUGGGGAAAAAGAGGAUGGUACCCAACAAGGAAGUGACGGCUAACUACGUGCCCGCAGCCGCGGUAAUCUGAGCGGGCUGGCAAGGC
rnacentral:rRNA from 1 species